GGGCUUGUGGGUUAGUUUGGCCUAUACUUGACGGCUGGGGGCCGUUAGACCCAAGUUCAAAUCUUGGCAAGCCCACCA
rnacentral:tRNA from 1 species